GUGGAAUAAUCGCUCGUAUAACCUUGGGAAUAUGGCCCGGGAGUCUCUACCUGAUUACCUUAAAUAGUCGGACUACGAGUGAAUACGUCA
rnacentral:ncRNA from 1 species